GAUCGUUGUAUCCUGGGAGUGAUUGUCCACGGAGGUCACAGCAAUUAUUGACGGGCAAUUUCACUUUAGGACAUCGUGCUGUCACGAGACUCGAUCGAUAAGUUUUAUAUUUCUGCAUUAUAUUGUUCUGAUCACCGCUGCAACUAAUUAUUUUUCCAACAGAUGAAUCAGUUUUUUAUCCUGUAACUCUUAUUGAUCUUGAAUUGUAUGUUGUGGUUUUAAAUGUGAACUAUAAAUCUGAUUUCUAGGUAUUGUACAUAUAAAUAACUUGGAAACUUCACUCGUUUUGCCGGGAUAUAUGGAGAAAGAAACAGAAAGAUUGUGCCUGCACGCAUUUUACGUAAUGAUAAGGUGAUAUAUAGUCAGUGAGUUAUUAAGGCCUUAAAACAAUUAUAUUUACAUGCAAUAGAAAUUAAAAAUACAUAACUAGCUAUAGAUUCAAGAAUAUGGUGUACCGAAAGCUUGAAACUAAGCUGUAUUUCGAAUUUAAUUUAGCCCCUCCAAUACUAGCAUACGACAUAAGAACCUGUCACAGGGAUCACAGAAUAUACUAGUUCAUUGGAUCUGUUGCUCACAAUCACUAGAAGGGGAUGUAAGGAGGAUUAUGGGCAUUUGUCACCCUUUUAAACGAUAUAUGUGAUUUUUAUUUAAUUAUUAUAUCUUGCAACUAAAGUUUUCUAUGUUCUUAAGCAUCUCUGUUUUCUAGUGAUUUUCACCAAAGUGAAUUGUCACAUUACAAGAGGAGCAAGCUUCUGUGCUUCAGUUCAUUUGGGGUAGAUCCGACCUAUAGUGAAACAUUUGUUAUUUGGGGAGCAAAUACAUUGUUCAGGGUAUGUAUUUCCUUUAAUUACAGAGGUCGAAUUGGACAAUCCUGACUAUCUAUUGAAAUCCUUUGUAAUUGGUUUACUACUAUUAUAAAAUGUAUAAACUUAAAAAGAAUUGUUACCUUCGAGCUACUUCAAAAAUUUUCUGGAUUAAAAGUAAUUUUAACUGUAACGAAACAGUGUUUUUCUACAAUUCUUCCAAAGUUUGAGGAAGGAGAAAGAAAUGCUUGAUAGCACCUGCUGUUUUGAUAUUAGAGUUCAAUAGGUUUUGAACAUUAUAGGGGAUUAUGGAACAAAAAACAAUAUGAAUACAGUUUUCACCUAUUUGGUCACCCUUUCUUUGGGAAAAACAUUGUUUUGAAUAGUGAAAUUCUGAAGAAUGUGUUGUUCAAAUGUGUUGGUAGUGCCUUCUUCCUUUUCCUGAAUAAUCUUUGACCAUAGUGAAUAUUUGGAGAAUGUGUUGGUAGUACCUUCUUCAUUUUCCUUGAGUUGUACCCAUGAAUAAUCUUUGGGCAUUGUAACAUGUUGCUUCUGAUGCAGUGAAAUGUCAAACUCUCCUUUGAGACGUAUAUAUGAGAUUCUUACACUCCCUCAUUCAAUUGAUGAUUUCAAGGAUCAGAUAAGAUACAAAAGGAUAUGUAACUUUAUGAUUUGAAGCAUAAAAAGAAACAAAUGUUAAUUUUUUUGAUAUGAUGCUUGAUUGAUUACAUACAUUACGGGUGAGCAAUUCAAUAUAGAAGGGAUUGUUUCACAUUUGUACAUACAAAUGUAUUAUUU
rnacentral:lncRNA from 1 species